rnacentral:rRNA from 1 species
UGGGGAAUAUUGGACAAUGGGCGAAAGCCUGAUCCAGCCAUGCCGCGUGUGUGAAGAAGGUCUUCGGAUUGUAAAGCACUUUAAGUUGGGAGGAAGGGCAUUAACCUAAUACGUUAGUGUUUUGACGUUACCGACAGAAUAAGCACCGGCUAACUCUGUGCCAGCAGCCGCGGUAAUACAGAGGGUGCAAGCGUUAAUCGGAAUUACUGGGCGUAAAGCGCGCGUAGGUGAUUUGUUAAGUUGGAUGUGAAAUCCCCGGGCUCAACCUGGGAACUGCAUUCAAAACUGACUGACUAGAGUAUGGUAGAGGGUGGUGGAAUUUCCUGUGUAGCGGUGAAAUGCGUAGAUAUAGGAAGGAACACCAGUGGCGAAGGCGACCACCUGGACUAAUACUGACACUGAGGUGCGAAAGCGUGGGGAGCAAACA